rnacentral:rRNA from 1 species
GAUGAACGCUAGCUACAGGCUUAACACAUGCAAGUCGAGGGGAAACGAUAGAGAAAGCUUGCUUUUUCUAGGCGUCGACCGGCGCACGGGUGAGUAACGCGUAUCCAACCUGCCCAUCACUUGGGGAUAACCUUGCGAAAGUAAGACUAAUACCCAAUGACGUCUCUAGAAGACAUCUGAAAGAGAUUAAAGAUUUAUCGGUGAUGGAUGGGGAUGCGUCUGAUUAGCUUGUUGCGGGGUAACGGCCCACCAAGGCGACGAUCAGUAGGGGUUCUGAGAGGAAGGUCCCCCACAUUGGAACUGAGACACGGUCCAAACUCCUACGGGAGGCAGCAGUGAGGAAUAUUGGUCAAUGGACGAGAGUCUGAACCAGCCAAGUAGCGUGCAGGAUGACGGCCCUAUGGGUUGUAAACUGCUUUUAUAAGGGAAUAAAGUGAGUCUCGUGAGACUUUUUGCAUGUACCUUAUGAAUAAGGACCGG